CCAAACCCCUGUGAACAUACCUAUGUUGCUUCGGCGGUUUCGUCCCGGGCGCCCUGUGUGUCCCGGAGCUAGGCGGCCGCCGGAGGAUACAAACUCUUGUUUUAUUGAGAAUCUUCUGAGUAUAACAAACAAAUAAAUUAAAACUUUCAACAACGGAUCUCUUGGUUCUGGCAUCGAUGAAGAACGCAGCGAAAUGCGAAAAGUAAUGUGAAUUGCAGAAUUCAGUGAAUCAUCGAAUCUUUGAACGCACAUUGCGCUCGCCAGUAUUCUGGCGAGCAUGCCUGUCUGAGCGUCAUUUCAACCCUCAAGUCCCCUUGGACUUGGUGUUGGGGAUCGACCCGCCCCCUGUGGGAGGGCCGUCCCCUAAAUCUAGUGGCGGACCCGCUGUGGCCUCCUCUGCGUAGUAGUGAUACCCCGCAUGUGGAGUGCAGUGAGCCCCUGCCGUUAAACCCCCAACUUUUUCAGGUUGACCUCAGAUCAGGUAGGAAUACCCGCUGAACUUAAGCAUAUCAAUAAGCGGAGGAAAAGAAACCAACAGGGAUUGCCUUAGUAACGGCGAGUGAAGCGGCAACAGCUCAAAUUUGAAAUCUGGCCCUAGGCCCGAGUUGUAAUUUGUAGAGGAUGUUUCUGGCGACGUGCCUUCCGAGUUCCCUGGAACGGGACGCCAUAGAGGGUGAGAGCCCCGUACGGUUGGUUGCCUAGCCUUUGUGAAACUCCUUCGACGAGUCGAGUAGUUUGGGAAUGCUGCUCUAAAUGGGAGGUAUACGUCUUCUAAAGCUAAAUACC
rnacentral:rRNA from 1 species